CAGGUGUCUCUGGUUUCUCCAUUUUCAUGCUCCGACACCCUCUCUGAUCGCUCUCCAAGACAUCAUUAAGUUCAUUGCUCUUUCACACUGCCUGCUGGAGCCGGAGCUGUAAUUCCAGUUAGUGAGGGAUCAGAUGGAGGUCACCACUGGUCUGUGGGGGUUUCAGCGCUGCACAAGUCCAUCGAGCCUCUCCAGACUACAUUACAGCUUUUAUCCCCACUAAUGGGAUCUCUUGGUGGGGAAUCCUGAGGGUGAUGGGGAUUAGGAUACCUGGCCUUGCUCCCACGCACAGUUUACCAUGUGGGGCGCAGAAAAUAUGUUGCACAUGCUGAGACGGCUGCAGGAAACCUUUACAUCUCUGGAUACCCAAAGACACCACAGAGACCGGUGUUUUUUGAGCAUGAUUUAUCUGUGUUCACACGCAUAUUGUCAGGAAUUAUGUCUCAUAGUCAUCCUCUCUUUGCACAGUUGUAGCUUUUUGUGGCCUCUCCACGCCCUGACCCGUUUGAAUCUGACACCGCCUGCAACUCAAUGAGAGAGUAUCAGAUGAUAGAGAGCAGGGCGACGCUCGGGUCCGGGGAGACGACGCUGAAUGUUAACUUUCUAUCCUGCUUGAUUUAGAAAGACAUUGUUGGAUACGUUUUGGAGUUUCCCAGUGUUACGGCCAAAGAAGAAGAAAGAGGAGUGAGAAAAGCUGAACUUGGAGGAAUAUUAAAGAGAAGGCCUCGCGUAGAGAGGAGGGAGAGAAAGCUUUUAGGAAAGCUGGCUGAGAAUACGUCUUUUAAAAAAAAAUAAAGGUAUUACAAAAGAGAAAGUCAUGCUCAUGCUGCCAAACUGAAAUGACAUCAUGCUGAGGGAAAGCUGGGGAUAAAUACAUACCCAAAAGGCCCUGCAGGAGAACCAGG